CCAGCCAGUCACCUCCCAUGAAACAGGAGGCUAUUAAAGCUCCAAAUGACUCUGGAGAUCCAGCUAUUGCCUCUCAGUUCAGUUACCCUCCUCUAGGGAGCCGGGCAUCGGAAGAUCAUUCGCGGUAACCAAGAGAGAAUGGGGCAAGGCUGAAGCUAAAUCUGGGUCUCCAGGCUCCAGGUCCAGCACUCCUAACGUGACAACUCUCUCAGUACCUUGACAUCAGGAAAGAGACUAAUUAGCCCAGAAGGCCUUAAGGAGUUCAUCUUAGGGUUGUUUAGUGAAAACUUCAGGACCCAAAACAAGGCAACCAAAAACCGAGAAAAGCAAGUGAUUGGCCAAUGCUCUCUCAACCAGGAAGUGAGAAUCCAGAACUCAGGGGGCCUGACCCCAGGACCAACACUCCUCUCCCUGAGGUGGCUCUCCCACAGAUGAAUGGGCGCUCUGUCUACUUGUCUUGAGGAGAAAAUGACUUUUCUACGAAGUCAAAGUUGAUGAAAAGAAAAGCUUUAUGGCCUAAGAUGUUUCUGCUUGGAUCUUCAGUGUCGUUGUUUUCAGAAACGAAGCCGAAACUCUAAAUAAUCCAUAGUCAACCCUUGUUGCUAGAUCUGCCAAGCAAUUUUCACCUGAAAGCAACCAGCACACUCCGUGGGAGACAUAAAUAUUAACCAGACACACCCCUAGAUGAGCUUACUUUCCUGCUAGCCCAACAGUGCCCCACCUUGGGUGGAACUUUCUGGGUUUUCUCUGGGGGGAGAAUUGAGCCUGGAUGGACGGAAGGGUUCCUGCACAGGUGCUAGGCAUGCAAUUAAUAUAUAUCACCUCAUUUUUUAUAUGAACAACGAGAUUCAUUUUUAACUAUGUAUCUAUUUGGAGUAAGUGCAGACAGGGAUGGUUUUGUUUUUCAUGGUAGGUUGUCAACAGGUAGCUUCAAACUCAAAUGGAAAACCAAGCUUACAGUUCAGACUGAGUAACCGGGGCAGUAGAAAGUGCACACGUGCGUGCCUGCAUGUCAGUGUAGGUGGACACCUAUAGGAAGGUCACAGGUCAGCAUCAGCUAUCUUCCUUGUCACUUCUCUGCCUUAUUUUUGGAGACAGGAGCUGUCUGGAACUCGUUUAUCCAGCUAGACUGGCUGUCCAGGGAGCUUCAGGAAUCUCCCCGUCUGAGUCACCAGCCCCGGAAUGACAGACGCGCACCAGUAUGACCAGCUUUUCCUUGGUGCUGUGGAUAUGGACUCGGGUCCUUAUGCCUCUUUGCUGCAGCACGUUACCCGCGGUGCCAUCUCCUCAGCCCCAACUGCUUCCUACUUGGUAUUAUGCAAACGUCCCACAGAAGCCAAAGCAUGAGAAAGGAAAGUAGGAUAAAAUUUGAAUUCGUGAUCCGUAUGCAUGGCCAGACUUGGAGUGGAAUUGGAUUUAUCGCGUCCAACCUUUUAUUUACAGAUGAGGAAACAGGUUCUGUGAAAAUAGAUUCUCCAGUUCUGGGAGAAGCACUCAGGAAAGUCUUCCUCCAGGUAGCAGCAGCAGCAGCAGCAGCAGCAGCAGCAGCAGGCUUAGACACUAGGCUUGGAGAGAGCCUUUGUUUUCCUGAAUGCAAAGUCCUCAUGAAAGGGAUUCAUCUGCUGCCGGGGCCCAGGACUUCCCACAUCUUCUCAAUGGGAUGCUGCUAUAGUAAGAUGUUGAUGUUCUAACUUGGAGUUCUACUGGCAAGAGAGAGAGACAGAGAGAGAGAGAGAGAGAGAGAGAGAGAGAGAGAGAGAGAGAGAGAAAGAGAGAGAGAGAGAAAAGAAAUUGCCAUUUCCCAUCCUGCUUUGUGUUCUAACCUUUCUCAGACUUUAGUCUAAACUCAUACACUCAUACAUUCUUCAUGUACCUGAGAGUUAGCUUCCCUAAAAACCCUGCUAUAUCCCAAUGUCCUUAGGAAUCUCACAAGGACAAGGAAUUAAUCCAAAGGGGAAAGGGAUCAAAAAACUUCGAAAAAAAAAAAAAAAAAACACCUGAUGGGGCUUGGGCUUGACUUCCCAGUUAUUUUUUAAGGAUUCCCAUUUGAGGAAUGCUUCCUUGGAAUAAAAUA